AGGAGAUGCCUCUCCACUUGCAUAAUAUGUUACACCUUGUCCGCGCACCUGCGGAUCCACACCGCCACAGCAGGCGCGCUCCGUCCGUACCCCCAGGGAGGACACCCAGGAAACUGUUGCUGCUGCUGUCUGGGAAAGCUUGCAGCUCAUCCUGUCAGGGACAGGGUGGCAGGGUGAUGACUGAAGGAGGAGCAUGCACUUCAGUGAAUCACAAACGAGGAAAGGGGUAGGAUCCACCAGGGGCAG